GGAGAGAUGGCUUAGUGGGUAAGAGCACUGACUGCUCUUCCAGAGGUCCUGAGUUCAAUUCCCAGCAACCACA
rnacentral:tRNA from 1 species